rnacentral:miRNA from 1 species
CCACAAUGGUGAUAGCACGGGU